rnacentral:lncRNA from 1 species
CCCUAACCAAAUGACUGGAUAAUCCACACCACUUCUCUACCAUAGAAUUACCAUCAACUAAGUCACAGAAGCUGCUCUACAUGUAAACUAGCUUUCCCAAUUGAACUGCCAGAAGCCACCAAUUGAGGUAAUUCCUUUCAAAAACGGCAAGAUAAUGAAGAAUGAUUCCAAAUUGAUUGUGCUGAACUAACCCUUUACGCCCAAAUAAACCCAAUAAGCAUAGUUGCUUCCUUACGUACAUAAUAAGGGAUCUCAAAAUAUGAUUUCGCCUAGAUGAAGCAUUUUGUGUUAAGGCAGGAAGACUGUCAAGCAGAUGAACGUACUAGUAAUAUCUUCUUCUUUAACAUAGAUUCAUUGCUUACAGCUGGUCGUAUAAACAGGCGAACUUCUUCACAAAAAAAUGGCAUGAUCCAAAGCUACCCGAAAUCCAUAUGGGCUACAUGCUUGCAUAUCCUCUCCUACGACAGAACUAUCAUGUUAAACCACUAGUUGGCGGAAAGCAUCGAAGCAUGGAAAGGUGGCUCCAUGCUAACAAACCAAAUGCUCAGGUUAACACAAUCCCCAAGUCUUUGCGCUAAGCCGCUAACCCUAGAACUGGAGGCUAACUCUCAAUCUAUGAAAUAUAAGCAGCAAACAUAUCACCCGAAGCAUGGAGUUCAGUCCUGCAGAAAGUAGAACCGAAACCCAGCCCAAAAGCAGCAACAAUCCCCCAGCUAAGCCAACCAAUCCAGAUCUACCCGCAACAUCCGCCACAAUCCGAUCGCUCAAUCGCAUACAAGGGAACGAACAAGAGAACAAGCUCUCAAUAAACUCACCGGAGAUGUUGCCGCUCCCGCCGGCACCGAGCGCCGCGGCGGAGGCCGGCGAGACGGAGGCCCGAGGGGAGGAGCGGCGGCCGCGGUGAGAGGUGAUGCCAUGG